rnacentral:sRNA from 1 species
CCCUAGCCCAGAUGGGAGCGGCAUCCUUUUAUGGCAGACAGCUGGAUUAGCU